CACUCGAGGUGGCUCGGACCGCAGGGCGGGGAGAAGGAACUAGUGCCCUCCCCGGCUAGAACACGAGCGGCCACGGCCCCCGCCCUUCUCGUUUUCUGGAAUCUUCCGCAUGCCGGGGCGCGCGGCCGGAUGGGAGGGGAGGAGAGAGGAAGGGGGGGCGGCGGCCACGCGCUCGGCAGCGGCAGCGCCACGAGGAAGGCGCGCGGCCGCCGCUCUUUCCACCAGCAGCCGGGAGAGGGCCACCGGCUUGGGCACCGCGGCCGGCGGAUUCUGCCGGCCAGUCCCGACCCCGCGCCCCGCCCCUCGCUUCGCUCCAGGCCCCGUCACCUCACCUGGGUGGCCUUCCCCCACAGACUCGGAGGUGAAGAGGAACGUGCCCUCCUCGAUGAACGCGUCGUGGAAGCCGUUGAGCUGCCCGUUCAUGGUGGUGGCGAGAUCCCCGUUGGCCUUACUUAGGCCAGAAGACAAUGGAGCCUGUUGAUGUCUAUACAGGCUGUGCUGGGUCUUUGUUGCGGCAUGCAGGAUCUUUAGUUGCAACAUCCGUACUUCUUAGUUGUGGCACGCGCACUCUUAGUUGCGGCAUGUGGGAUCUAGUUCCCCAACCAGGGAUGGAACCCGGGCCCUUACCCACAGGAC